GGGCUCGAUGUGGCUUCGACGGAAGGGCCUAGAGUGGCCUGUGCUCGAGUCGAGGAUGUGUAAUUUCCUCGCUAAUCUUUUUACACACUUUCUAAGUGCAAACUUAGUUAACAAGGUCAAAAACGCAUUUGCUAACGCAUUUGCGUUUUCACCUGCAGUCGCUUAACUGACUGCCGUUACUCACUCGCUCCCUUAGGGUAAGUGAGACCAACGUUUACUUACUAAGGUGCAACUAGCUGAGAUUUCUCUGAGUAAGCUAGCCAAGUAAAACGCAGAGAAUUUUUACACUCGUCAACCACAACUGCUCUCCUUUCGGACUGGGGUUCAACUCCCCACGGGUCCACCA
rnacentral:tmRNA from 1 species